CAUACCCUAGAAACAUUUCGACAAUUAAAGCUCUUGUCAAGUUUUGAAUCGCCGCAGCAACGCCAGACCAUUACGUCUAAUCAACGAUCUAUAGGCCAAUUUCCUACUUUGCCUUAUGCGACACUCUUGAAACACACAACAUAAGCAAGCUUUUAUGUGUCGUAAUCACUUUAACAAGGUUUUUGAAUUUUUUUGUGACGAACCUCAUAAAGCAGCGUUGCGUCAGACACUUGAUGUGUGAGCGAUUGAAGUUAAUGUUGUCAUAAUUUCUUGCCGGUACGCGAUUGUAAGGAGUAAGACUGCGCAUCAUUGCGAUUCGUACGCUUUUUUUUGGCUUUUGAAAAGGAGCAAGUUCCUCCCCGUUCAGCCAAGUAACUCUAUUGAACUAUUUCAAGUUUACAUACGUCCUCGUCACAGCAACCUGCGCGCGUUUUUCCCCGCUGCAGUAACGUCUGAUAGGGGUAAAAACACGGGGAGUGCUUAAAACGAGACGAUACAACGGAGAGAACUGAAGGCGAUAAAAAGACGAAUAGCUGUCUAUCUACUUACGGCUUGCGUGUGCGAUAUUUCGGGCUAGGUAGAGCGUUGCGGCGUUCGAAAUUCGCUCACCGUGUCAUAACAUCAGCUGUACGCGCACCGGACAAACGCGGAUGGCACAACUUUGGCUGUUAUGAACGAAAGAAGAUAAACGUCCGCUGUCGUUGAAUUGUGCACCGGAGCCAUUUGGCUGUACUAAAUCCAAGGGGGUCCAAACUCGAAGAUUGCGAACUUGCAGUUUGUCACUAUCUCCUACCCCCGAAGACAGCCUGCGAUUUUGGAGAGCGGGAAAGACUUAAACUCACGUUGGAAGUUCUAGACAACAAAUCUCAAAAAGGGAAAUGGGCACGAAUCCAAAAAAUAAUGAAUGAAAAGAGAGAACAUGCGCGUUUGAUACAAGUUGGAUAUGGCACUGAUCGAACAGCUUAGGGUUGCCAGGGGACCCGAGUACAGUACAUUGGUAAGCGAAAAUAAAGAAAUAGUGAAAACAAGUAGUGAGAGUAGUUUACAGAGAGGACAGGGUAGCACAGCCUCACGUCGAAAGUACCUUUGCUCUCUCAUUGGCGAUUGGCGCGUGCUCCUUCAAAGUCAAGCUCAGUCGUUACAUCGGGACGACCGAUAGGUGAGAAAGGCGGCGGAGGUGGGAGGAUUUAUAGAUGGCGAUGGAUCGUUGUGCGACGACUCUCUAAGUGCGUGGUCCGAACCCCCCUCCCCCCCGCUCUGUUCAAAGUUGGAAUACCGUUAGUUAUAUCUGGUCGUUCCUGGCUGACUCAUCCGAUGAUAGGACGGAAAGGAAAAGCCUAGUUGGGGACGGAAAUGAUGACCACCGUUCGUCAGUGCUGAAAAGGAGGACAGGAUGUUAAAAGCAUCGAUCAAUUAUGCAAAGUCAAAGGCGUGACGCUCACAUGCCAGCUGGUAGCUUGGCUCUUCUCCACCUAAUCAUUUUUUACCGGCAGAAAUAGCAACAAAGCGGUUCGAGGUGCCUACAAAAGUUGGAACUCCGUUGUAAACAACACAGGCAUGAGUACGGACCUGUCAGAAUAGACAGAGUAGUGGAGCACCGUACUUUUUUAAUGCACUAUAAAUUUUAAACGGGGAUUGAAGCCAACAUCAGAUUAACUAAGCGGCCUGUGGCUACCUACGAUUUUUUUAAUCUUCAAAUCGAGUUCUACGUUUGUGGCCUUCCCUCUUUCUACUAUAGAAUCAUUGUACUCCUAUAGCAUAUCGCCGGCGUUAGAAAGAGCUUUAUUUACGUAAUAUUAUGGUAUUAUUGCAAUUUUAGUUACAGUUACGAAAUAUAUAAUAAUAAUAAGCAAAAUUUAUGUCAACUAA
rnacentral:lncRNA from 1 species